rnacentral:rRNA from 1 species
UACAGAGGUCCCGAGCGUUGUUCGGAUUUAUUGGGCGUAAAGGGCUCGUAGGCGGCCAACUAAGUCGGAUGUGAAAUCCCCAGGCUUAACCUGGGAACUGCAUCCGAUACUGGAUGGCUUGAAUCCGGGAGAGGGAUGCAGAAUUCCAGGUGUAGCGGUGAAAUGCGUAGAUAUCUGGAGGAAUACCGGUGGCGAAGGCGGCAUCCUGGACCGGCAUUGACGCUGAUGAGCGAAAGCUAGGGGAGCAAACGGG